GGUGAAGCUUGCAUUGGGGUUACACGUUCUCCUCUUCCUCAAAAACUGGCUGCAAGGAUGAGUGUGGGAGUGAGGAUUUGGGAGUGGCUCUAAACAAACCCUGGUGGAGGCCACAGACAGGGUCCCCAAAAGGGACAGAAGGCUCCCACUGGUAUCUGAAAGUCAAGCUCCAGUGGUAGCUUGGGAAGAAAAUGAGAGAAAGUUGUAAAAUACCCAAUGCAAAGUGUAGGGCCAGAAAGUUCCUGGUGAAGUGAAGGUGAACAAGCAAAGGAUGAAAAUUGCCUCUAAUUUACCGCCAGAUACUGAGAGAGGGAGGUGAAGUUCCCACUCCCUAAGCUCUUCCCUGGGCGCCUUGUUAACAGCUCAGCUCUGGGGUCAGUGGCCAGCUCCAUGGUGAUCAUUAUUACACAUUCAACAUUCACAAACCCUCCUCGCACACAUCACUUGCUAAUCAGGGUGUGUGCUGGGCCCAGGGAAAAAAGGCUUGGCCUCAUAGAAGCGGCAAAGGGCUCCUGGGGCAUCUGCAGCCUCCCCGGCCAACAAAAAAGUGGGGGCAGGGAGAGAUGGAGCCGCAAGUUGAGAAGUGUCACAAAGCUGGGAAUGAGGAAAGAGAUCAGGUGCUGGCAGACGCCAGACCCAGAAGAUGCUGUGUAGUCGAGGCUCCAGGUUCCAUGCCAAGGGGCUGGAUUCUCCCUGGUAGUAAAUCAUCUCUCACUCUCUCCUCCAAAUGACUGUACCGCUGGUGACGCCACUCGGCGAGCGCAAGUGGAUAAAUAGAAACGUCUGCCACAGCGAAGAUGAAAGGAAACCCGCAGCUAAUGGCUCGGCAGUGAUGCGCCAGGUGUGGGCCUCGCUCGAUUGGGGAGGAGAGUGUGAAAACAGACAGAGAGACACACACACUGAGAGAGGGAGACACCCAGGCAGAGGGGAUGCAAAUGGAAUGCCGCAGAAAGAAAAGAGAGCUUAACGCGCGCGGCGAGUUCCGCAGGGGCAGCGGGACUAGAUGGCCUUAAGUUUUCCACAGCCUGGCUUCAUCUUGAGAUGGCUAUUCGUACAAGAAGUCGCUUUCCCGUUUGCCUGGACCUCGCCUGCACUCCAGGUAUGUUGGGUGGGGAGAGUUUCUAAGAGUUGUCUUUUUUUUUCCUUGCCCAUAUUUUAAAGUAUUCGUUCAGAAUCAACGAAUUCUCCUGGAAAGAGAUUU
rnacentral:lncRNA from 1 species